rnacentral:rRNA from 1 species
UACGUAGGGGGCGAGCGUUAUCCGGAUUUACUGGGUGUAAAGGGAGCGUAGACGGCAUUGCAAGUCUGAAGUGAAAGCCCGCGGCUCAACCGCGGAACUGCUUUGGAAACUGUAAGGCUGGAGUACCGGAGAGGUAAGCGGAAUUCCUAGUGUAGCGGUGAAAUGCGUAGAUAUUAGGAGGAACACCAGUGGCGAAGGCGGCUUACUGGACGGUAACUGACGUUGAGGCUCGAAAGCGUGGGGAGCAAACAGG